GGGGCUGGCGCGGGGAAGAGGGGCGUUGGGCUGGUGCUGGGGAGGCGCCCCGUGAAGGCCGGAGGGGUCUCCUUUUUCGGGGCGGGCGGGCAGGCAGGGGGGCGAACCCUCUCUGACGGGAGCGACCGGAGCGGGGAGGCAUUAUCCUCUGACGAGGAAAAGGGAAGCCCUAGGGCCGCCGGGCAAAGUUAUGUUCCAGGCUGAUCUCUCCCGUCUGUAGGGCAGCGAUAGUCCUGUGAGAGCUUGGCCUAAGGGAUGAAUGGUGGGAUGAGUGGCUCCAUUUUCUGUAAUGAACGUAGUGGGGUGCUGGAGGAGACUUUCACCUGCUGAGCGACAAGAAUGGAUAGAUGUGUGUGUGUGUAUAGAGCAUAUCACUAGCCUGGUAGCUAUCACUAGCUUGGUAAAAAUGCUGGAGUAAAAAGAUUGGUUCUUAGGGACAUGUUCUAGUGCUGUAGUUAAGUUAUGGCUGGACUUGAUGACCCUGAGGUCUCUUCUGACCAAAACAGUUAUAUGAUUCAAUAGUUUGUGCUGAGUGCUGAUGUACCAUCUGGUGAGUAUAGAAGUCAUGGUAUAGCACUGUCUAAAAUGAGGGGAUUUUCCUUUUUUCCUCUUGAUGCAGGGGGGAAGAGGUCAGGCCUAUGUGGUGUUCUGGGGCAAAGGUACUUCAGUUUGGUGGUGACUGCAGCAUAAGGGGGGAAGAGGAGUGAAGCAUCUUGUUCUCUUUUACUAGAUGAGCUUUGGAGCUAAACAGUCUCUCGUAUAGGCAAGUGGAAGGGAAAAGAGCUGCAAGUCAUCCCAGGAAUCCUAUAUCAGCAACCAGUAUAGCAUGUGUUGAGUAUUUGCAUGGAAGACUAUCAUGGAAGGUGGUGAAGAAGAAAGGGACAAGAAUAUUGUUUCAAAUACUAAAUGCAGAAGUUUAAGAACACAGUUAUACUGUCACAGUUUAAUUUAAUUAGAGGCUUGAAAUAUAAAAUAAGCUUUCCCUGGUACAAAAAGCUGAAGUCUUCAGGGCCUCAUUUCCCCUUCUCUCAUCCCUGAGUCUUUAUAAAUGGGAUUGGCAGUACUCAGGACUGAGGAAUGAAUUGACUUCAGUGGUCAGUCUAAGGUGAACAUUGGCCACUAAUUUAUUUCUGCUUCCAAUCCAUUGGAUCAUUGGAGGACUGAGACUAUAACAGAACAGAAGAAACAUCCAUGUAUUGAAACUGAUUUGGGUACCCUACUGCUGUUUCUGUGAGGAGGGCUUGGGGAGUUUUUUUGGAACAGGAGAGUCCUCUCCAAUUGGUAAUGUGCAUUUGGGGAUGUGAGAUUUAUAGAGUGGAAUUUAGUAAAGUUACAACAAAUUGGGGCAUAGAGCAGCUUUUCCAAUACUGUGAAAGAGAAGUCCAAAAAGAGACGCUCUUGCCUAUGAUAAGCUGAGCUAGAAUGGAUAUAUGAGAGAAACUAAAGUAUUUACUUGGCUAUGAAUUACUGAAUUUUGUUUUGUUAAAAUGUAUUGCCAUACUUCCUUGUGUUUAAGUUUCAAAGGAUUUUAUUGUUAGUUUUAUUACCUAGCAACUCCAAAAGACUUCAGCUUAUGUCUGGGAUCUGGCCUGAGUUUUCUCAUCGUGCACAGGAAGUAAAGUUGGUUUAGGUCAUGUGUAUUGAGCAUUGGCGUUUCACAUCACAGUCCAUUCAACCUGGCUAGAGCAGAAUGUCAGAUACUAAAAAAAUUGCAUAGUAUGAAAAGCUAUUUUCUUCCUACAGAACAUUCAGCUCUAUAAGAAGAAAUAUUUUUUUACUAAGCUUUCUCAGUUUUACUGCUAUAAAUGGUCUUUAAAGUUUUGCAUGUGAUAUUUUAAAAUCUCCUAUAUAUGCUUACUCAGUGUGAUUUUGUCUCAGAAAUAUAGGCACACCUAGAAUUCAAAAAAAGACGGAGAUGUAGAAAACUAUUUGUACAUUUAUCUGUUCCGAAAAAUGUGAAGUGCUAGUCCUGUAUGUAUAUAUGCAUUGUUCAGUAAAUGAAAUUGUAUUAAAAUGAAGCGAGCAGACAGAAUCAUCCAAAAAAAUGCUGGAAAAAUUAGUCAGUGCUUCUAAAGCAAAAUACUUGUUCCUGUGGUGAAAAUACUCUUGUCUUUUCAUUGGUAUAUGCAUAGAUUUGGGGGGCUGGGGAUGUUUGUUCUGUUCUUUCCACAUAAUACACAGAAAUUUAGAUAUUUUUUUUUUUUUAAGACUUCAUUCAGAACUGCCCUUGUCAGGAAGCUGUGUUAUACCCAUUUGUGGAGCAGGGAAGGGAAUGAUUUACUAUAGAUGUAAGAUUUAACUCUACAUAGCUCUGUGAUUUUUUCAUCUGCUCUUGCUGUAAAGUUCAACUUAAUCAUUUAUUUCAGAAAAAAAAAUUAAUGUUUUGGUUGCAUAAAGUCCAGGAAUUAAAUUCUAGCCCCAAGGAAGUCAACAGGAAAACUUUCACUAAGGUCAACUGUCUCUAGUUUUAUCCCAGAAAUUCCUUUCCUGGGCUCACUAGUUCUUUGAACAAUCUUGUAAAAAAAUGGCAUGCCUUUAACAACAGGUAAUUUACUUUGAAAGUAGCUGUUCUGUAACAUGUGGUAAAGAAACUAUGUAUGUCAGCAUUAUAUUGUUUCCAAAUAAGUAUCUUACCUGCUUUCUAAAAUAAUCUAUAUUGAUUGAUUUUACAUGUAAAUAUUACGUAUCCUAGAAACUGACAUUUGUAAGCUACAGUUUGAUUGAUCUUCUAAUAUUGCAACUGCUUCUGCUUGAAGCUGGAUUUGAGUUGUUUGUAUGGGUCCUGCUGGAGGUCUUGGAAAAAACAAGUAAUUUUUUAAAAAAGAGAACAGCUGUUGUUGAUAUGAUCAGCCAAUUUCAUAUUGGUUAUCUGGAGAUUUAUUCUAUUGACAUCUUUGAAAAUACAGAGCAGAAGAUGUAAUUAAACAUAGUGUCAGGUCAAAAGAAAUGAUUUACCAAAGCAUGCCAUUUAAAAUUACUUGUGUAACUUGAGAGAAAGAAAUAGACCAAUAACAUAAUUAAAAUAAGUUAAUUCAGGAGUUAAUUUCUGCUUGUCCAUAAUUUGUGUUUUACUUAAAAUUACAUCUAUAUCCUAUACACAUAAGGUAUCUAGCUAAAAUGUGAAUGUUUCCUAAAAACAGUGAUCAUGUCACUAUGUGGUUAGAACUUAUGUGUGAAAAGAUGAGAUUAAGGCAGCAGUGUCUAAUACUCUGCUCUCACUACAGGCUGCUAAAGCUUUUGUCUCCUUCCCCUUCAACCCAGGGCUUCAGUAGCUUGGGGGAGGGUGAAUGGGGCUCACUUAAUGAAAAUUCCUGUUGGUUUGCUGAAACUGCACUCAGGGGAAGAAAACUGACUGAUCUACAGUUAGCAAUUCUAUGUGAGAUUCCUGAUUUACUUCUAGUAUGUAGUCACCAGUAACCUCUAUUGAAAGCAUGCUUAGUGUCUUUGGAGGGGCACAGCUAGAUUCCACACAAGUAUUUUUUUCUGUAAAAUCGGUAUUUCUCAUUUUGAGAUAUUAUAGUCUUUAAGGAUUAAUUGGCUUCUUUAUGUGACUUAUGUUACCCAUGCAAAAUUUUAUUUGCCUUCGAAUUUACAUGUCAUUGAUUGAAUAGAAACGGCACAGUGGUCCAUGUCAGUGCCUUGUUUUCUUAAGUUUGUUUUUUUAACUUCUAUUUGCAAACAUUUAGUGCUGGUGAAAGCAGUUCUAAGUGUGCAUGACUGCAGCUGUAAGGAAGAUGAUAUUAAAAAUGAAGGACUGGAAGUGGUUGUGAGUGAAUUCAUUCUUAACUCCCUGAGCUUUGCAGCAAGGACUGACUGUAUCUUUCCUGAUGACUGGGGUUUUUGUUGUUGUUUCUGUUUUGUUUUUAAGAACUUUUUUUUUUUUCCUAAAAUCCUCCAUUGGAAAAGAUUCCAUAAUUUGAGAUACUGUUUCAUAAUGCUUUCCCUUAAAUCCUUUGCAACUCUUCAUUUCAAAUCAAGCUGUUAUCUAUCCUGUGCUUAGUGGGGUAGAGACUGAUGGAUUACCAUAACCUGUAUUCAUAAGUGGGAUGUAGAAGUAAUGUUUUAAAAACUAUUUUUUUCCAUAUAGGAGUUGGGGUAUUUUAAGCUUCAUCUCUAGAAAACUUGUGUGUUAAACUCUGUGCAGGUAGGCUUCUCUUUUCCUCUGAACUGUUGGAUGCCCAUUUCCCUAUUCUUUCUUUCCUUGUGGAGGAAGUAGUUGUCUAUUUUUUAUUUAGUAUGUUUUAUCUUUGAGGAUGUUAUUGCUCCCUCCCUUUUUCUCUAUUAUGACUCCAUCACAUUGUUCACUUAUCCAGAACCUGUCCAAGAAGUCAGUUUAAAAGCUGUUUAGAAUUUUACAGUCCUUAUAAGCACAGACUUCUUGAAGCUGCAAGUAAUCAUACAAAACAAAAGAAGUCAAGUACUGUAUUCUAUGAGGCAGCAAGCACUCUGUGUGGGGCAUUUUUCCAUCCUGUCCUAUGCACAAGGAAUUGCAACUGUGAUUGUUCUGCUUGCUUGAAAACAUUUUGGCAAGCCACAAAUAAUUUAGAUGUGCUUCAGCUGAGUUGAGAACAAUCUGGCUUACAAAGGACUUUUAAACUAUAUAUAGACCAUCAGUUCUUUUCAGCUCUGUGGCAUAUAUAGGCAUAUAUUUCUUCUUGAAGCUUUGCGUGUUUUCCGGUCUUUGUUGCUGUUAUUUUACAACUCUGUCUUUAAAUAUAAGCCCAGUAACUGUGUAAGAGUAUGCUCACAGGCUAAACACCUUACUUCUGAGAUAAAAAAGUGGCCUGCUUAGUAAUCUUCUAUUUGUUUAAGAGUUUGUUUGAAAUUCAAGGAUGUUAUCAGGCAUAGUAUGAAAGCCCAUUUCCUAAGCUAUUUUGCACAAUCCUGGGAAAUUUUAGCCUGGAUGAACAUACAACACACAGAGGUACAGGAAGAACUGCCUUUCAGCAGUUGGAGGCAGAUGGUCCAUACUAUCAAUCUGAGCAUGGAUGAGAAGAAUUCUCAUGUGUGAGAAUAAGAUUGCCAAAUCUUAUGAAUAGUUGCUGGAGUUGAAUUACAUACAUAUUUGGUAAUGUUGUGUGUUUUGCCUUACAGAAGAUUUUUCCAAAGGCAGUGUUAAGUACAUGAUGUGAAACUGUUCAGCCUCAUUUUGUUGACGGACCCUUCCUCCUCUCUCUCCCUACUCUUACAUGUAUUUUCCUAGACUAUAGCUUGUGUUUUAUCCAAACAAAACUUGAUGCAAGGUCCUAGAUCAGCUUCAGCUACUCAUGUAACUUAGAUUUUUGUUGCCUUGCUGUCUCAACUACACUGUGGGAAGCUCAGCACGUGUUGUGGAAAGACAAGAAAGUGCUAUUGGGGAAGUAUUCAAAAUAUUCUUGGUUUAAGCUGUACUCAGAAGGGUUUUGCUAUAUGCUGCCUUGCGCAGAAGAAUGUUUUUCUUUGUAUUUGUCAUUUGGAAGACACUAAUGAGAUAUAAAUCAAACAAUAUUUUGAAUAAAAUCAAUACAUCAGGGCAAAAACUUACGACUAUGAAUCUGUUAGACUGGUUCUGAAUAACAUGAGCUUCUGUUUUACAGCCUUUUCAAAAAUGUGUGGUGCCUUAAGUACGUGACUCUAAAUCAUUUCUAGUUAGCAUUUUGGAACAAAUGGAGCCUUCAACACUUAGAACUUCAGAGCUCUAAAUUAAUCCUUUAUUUCAGAAGGAUGAGAAGCUUCAACUAGAUUUAAAAAACAUUGUCUGAAAAAUUAUGCCUAACAUCUAGGUAGACUCAGUAUCCCCUUUUUAAAAAUUGUUGCAUUAGACAUUUGAAAUGCACUAAGAAAAAAAAUCACCUUUGAUUGCAUUUGUAACUAUUCAUAACUGGAUAGUUGCAUGGGUUUGAAUUUUGCUUGAGUAGAUCAAAAACAUUUUUUCCAAUACAUAUAAUGUCCUUUACUCAGGAUACCAAUAUAGUAAUAAUAAAGUGUCCAGUUUUAUUCAUAUAACUUAGAACUUUUUUCAAGGAUGAAGUUGUAAGCUUUCUUCUCACUGGAGUGGAAUAUGUCAUAUGUAAAUAUUAAGUAAUUUGAACUUUUGAGAUAUGCCAUAUAGACAAUAGCAGGCUGAAAUAUGACUGUCAAGACUCAUGUAGGAAAAUAACAUAAUGGCAGUUCGAAAGAAUAAUAAUGGAUCUCAUUAUUUGGUUUACAUUGAUAAAGGAUCUUCAUGUUUUGGACUGUGGGUGGGUGCUGAGUCAUGUUGGAAAGGACCUUCAUGCAAGUCUUAGAACAACUGUUUGCUAAUCAAUGGCUUGUAACCCGUUUUAGACAGCUUUACAGCUUUGCUAAACUAAGUCCUUGAUGCUACUCUUGUUAUCUGGGUCACACGUAUUUUUACUGUUGAAACAGACCCUGUGAAAACGACUUUGUGACAAGAGAUAUUGGCCUUUUCUGGGUUCCUCUAAUCUCCCACUUUUCCUGUCCCCUUUGUCUGAAACAAAUUUUUUAUGUCAUCUUACUUUAAAAGGUACCUUAAAAAGUAUGUAUUUGAAAUCCUUUUUCCUCUCUGCCAACACUAUCUCAGGUUUAAAAAAAAACUUUCAAAAAUUGAGUCUUUUUGCCAGUAUACCUUUCCUUUUGCUUUUCAUGCCUUUAUUUAACUUUGUUUUUAAUAGCUUAAUUUGCACUAAGCAAGGGUAUGUUUGGUGUUUUUUUGGGUUGUUUUUGUUUUUUUGUUUUUGUUUUUUUUUUAGUUUCUGAGGAGAGUAAUUGGAAAGAUUUGUCUGAUAAAAUCUUGAUUCCUUAGUCUGUUAAAUCACAAUUAAUAUUGCUGGUGGUUUUUGAGGUGACAGGUAUCUUUUCUAACUCCUCUUUAUUGGCUUCCUGCCUUGUGUUGUUUAGUACAAAAUGAAACAGCAAUAAAAUUCUCAAUUUGCUAAGCAUCACAGUGUGUCAUUUUUUGUAAUCUGUCACUUCAUAUAUUAUACCAAAACAUAUGGGAAGAUAGUUGAACCAUUUAAUAUCUCAUCUGUGUUUCAUGCAGUGAUUUCCUAUAAAGAGUUUAACUUUUAAAACGUAGUCAGCCUAUGCAUUUCCACCCUUCACCAAAACAGCUUGGAUGUCAAUUGAUGUGCUGUUUAGUGACUUAAGUGUUUAAUUUUUGGAUGUUUUUUCUUAUGGUUGGGCACAACUGGACAUGCAGUGUUUGAUGUAGCUAAACUCCAAGGUAGCGAUGGUCUUGUUUAUAACAGAAAGCUUGCACUUAGGUAUAAUAUAGACUGUUAAAUUUGUGCAGCUAUAAUUGGUGCAAAUUUGUAAAAUGAGUUUUACACAAUUGACACAAAUUGUCUUUUAAGACUGCAGUCGGUGGUUUUUAUACUAUGGUUUUCUACUGGUGUGCUGACUGGUUUUUUUGAGGUUUUUUUUAUGAGAUAUUUUAAUUAUUUAAACCUUGUGUGUGAGCUUUUUCAAGGUGUUUAUUUUUUUUUCUCUUCGUUUUUGUACUAAGAGCUUGCUUGUGCCUUCACUGUUUUGUAGUCUAACAACAUAUGUGUCUGUAGUGGACCAAGCUUCUAUGUAAGUGCAGUUUAUAUGAGCACCAUUAGUAAUUUCAUGCCAGUAACUGUUCUCAAGAUGAUUGUAUUUGUAUGAAAAUGCAAAGAUAGGCUGAAAGGAACUGUAACUGUUGUUGUAUCCUUGCUAAAACAAUUGAGUUCAGUUGGAGGUUUUCUCAGAUCUGGACUGUAUUCUGUGUGCGCAUAUAUCCAGUCUUACCUGCUCUCUGUGCUGCUCCUCACUAACGUACAUACCAUGGCUCUUACUUACUGUUGUACCUCGUACAACUUUAGGAUGUUUAGAGUAUUGUUGCUACGUAAAACAUCAGGAGAGUGAAGAGGGUAUUUGGAAAUAGGUCUGCAGGAGAUGAGGAAUGGAGGUUUUCAGCGAGGCGUGAAUCUUGGUAAGGAGAGAUGGUGGAGAAUGGGAAAAAACUUGCCUGGAUUUGAGAGAAAUGUCUUCUGCUUGGGUGCUGGUGGGAGGGUGGAAGAGCAUACUGCUGUGACUGUUUCUUGGCUCCUGCUGGGAAGUGUUCCUCGGCAAGUGAUGUAACUUCAUAAGAAAAUGGCAGCCAUGUCUCCUGGUCUGCUGCCCUUCUGGGAAAGGGGUGACAAUGGGGAGCAGGGAAGUGGAGUGGCCAUGAUCAUGGUUAGAAGUGAAUAAAAACUAAACAGAUACGAUAUUUUCCUGGAGGACGUUGACCAUUGCAGGAAGAGUCCCCUCCACAAGGCUAUCUUGAGUAAAUAAUCUGAUUAAUUAUCAAACAGAAUGGUAUAACUCAAAAUGACUAGGAGCAGUUAGCUCACUUUAUUCUGGUUACUUAAGAGGCAGGAUCAGAGAAAAGUAGGGAGGACUUCCUAGGUGAAGAUGCUAUGACAGUGGAGCUAUUGUUCUGCUAGUAACUUCUCAUAAUUAAAAACAGAAUUAAUGAAACCUGAAAUUGCACAUAAUUUUUCUUAUGAAGUUAAACACUUGAAAUGCCCACUCUCCUGCAGAAGUCGAGUCUGAGAUCUUGUCAUUCUUACUUUGAAACCAACAGCAACUGAAACAUAAAAUAAACUGGCGUUGCUUUUGCAGUUUUAAAAUGCUGAGAUCUCUUACUUCAGCAUAAGAAUUUGUGGUUUAAGCUGUUUUAAGGUGUGUUUGUGACAUCAGGUGUGUUUGUGACAUCAGGUGUGUUUGUGACAUCAACUGCUAGUGCUCAGAUCUUUAGAAACUUGCUUCUUCCCUUCCCACCUCCCAAACUAGAUAAACAUUAGUAUUGUUCAUAUACUGAAAGCUUCAUUAGGAUUUCCUGGUGUGUAAAUAUACUAUUUUUUAAUUAAAUGCAAAGCUGUGGCUGUGUAAAGUGAGCUGCUAUUACUACCUCUCCGUCCUUGUGAGGCUGUCCAUCACUAUAUACUACGUUCUCUGUUUUGUGAGUGCAGCUGGUAAGAUGUGUGUGAUAGUGAAAUGAGAGCUUUGGAUACCACCAAAUGCUUCUGAGGUGGGCUCAGCCUUGAAUGUGGGAGCUGACAGGUAGUAGAUCAUACUUGUGCUUACGGCUUUUUCUUUCCAAGUUUGGAGUCUUCCUGUCCCUAAUCAUGCAAGUAUAAGGUUCUGUUUUCCUUUGAAGACCUGUUGUACUGUAUUUGGCACCUGAACGUGAAAUAUGAGAUGGAGCAGCUUAAGUUCUAUUAAAUACAAAUUUUAACGCAGGGCAACUAGAACUAUUACUGCGAAGAACAGGUCAACAUUGUAAAUAUCAUUUUGUUUGUAAUUUAUCAUUUCCAAUUAUUAUGGGUGGUAGAUAACUGACAGUGUCUUAAUGGUAUGAAUAGGCAUAAUGAAACUGAAAGAAAAAGGAAAGAAAUUGACUUCUGUAAAUCUGUGUUCUGUCUUCAAUGACAUUACUGUUGUUUUAAACAGUAGUGUUUGUGCCCUACCCUAAAUAUAUAAAUACUCCUACACCCCUCCAGACCUUUUCCUCUCAGCCAAAAUGCGCGUGCUGGGUUGCAAUAAAUGACCGAGGCUUCUGCUGUAUUAAUAUAGUUUCUCAUUAGCUACCUUCUUAACACAAGCUAUGUAUCAAACAUUUAUGACCAUGGCCAGACCCAAAUAUGAAAGAAGUUCCCGUUGAAGUUGUUUUCAUGGAGCCUAACUUCAGUUUUGAGUGGUGUCUGUUAAGAUACCAACAAAGGUAAGAUUUCAUUUAAGUGAAAUAAAUAGAAAUUAUCACCAGUGUAAUUCUGAAAAGGAAGACUAGUUUGGUUAGCUUUAGCUGAAAGGUAGGUUUUAAGAUGAAAGUUUAUAACUUCCGUACUGCUGUGACUGUUUCUUGGCUUCUACUGGGAAAUGUUCCUUGGCAAGUGAUGUGACUUCAUAAGGAAAAAAAAAAACCAAAAA